GAUGAACGCUGGCGGCGUGCUUAACACAUGCAAGUCGAACGGUGAACGAGGGAGCUUGCUCCCUCCGGAUCAGUGGCGAACGGGUGAGUAACACGUGAGCAAUCUGCCCUGGACUCUGGGAUAAGCGUUGGAAACGACGUCUAAUACCGGAUACGAGACGCGAAGGCAUCUUCAGCGUCUGGAAAGAACUUCGGUCCAGGAUGAGCUCGCGGCCUAUCAGGUAGUUGGUGAGGUAACGGCGCACCAAGCCUACGACGGGUAGCCGGCCUGAGAGGGUGACCGGCCACACUGGGACUGAGACACGGCCCAGACUCCUACGGGAGGCAGCAGUGGGGAAUAUUGCACAAUGGGCGCAAGCCUGAUGCAGCAACGCCGCGUGAGGGACGACGGCCUUCGGGUUGUAAACCUCUUUUAGCAGGGAAGAAAAGGCUGUGGCUAAUAUCCACAGCUGCUGACGGUACCUGAAGAAUAAGCACCGGCUAACUACGU
rnacentral:rRNA from 1 species